GACGAACGCUGGCGGCGUGCCUAAUACCUGCAAGUCGAACGCAGUGGGGACGGGUGAGUAACACGUGGGUAACCUCCCAUCAGAGGGGAUAACACUUGGAAACAGGUGCUAAACCGAUACUGAUGGAUGGACCCGCGGUGCAUUAGCUAGUUGGUGGGGUAACGGCUCACCAAGGCCACGAUGCAUAGCCGACCUGAGAGGGUGAGCGGCCACACUGGAACGGGGACACGGUCCAGACUCCGACGGGAGGCAGCAGGAGGGAAUCUUCGGCAAUGGACGAAAGUCUGACCGAGAAACGACGCGGGAGUGAAGAAGGGUUUCGGAUCGUAAAGCUCUGUUGUUAGAGAAGCGGUAUCUAACCAGAAAGCCACGGCGAACUACGUGCCAGCAGCCGCGGUAAUAC
rnacentral:rRNA from 1 species